rnacentral:rRNA from 1 species
AGACGAGAAGACCCUGUGGAACUUAAAAAUCAACGGCCACCGCGAACCUAAGACUAAACCCACCGGGGCUACAGACAUCGCAGAGCAUGGCCGAUAUUUUUCGGUUGGGGCGACCUUGGAGAACAACAGAUCCUCCAAAAACAAGACCACACCUCUUUACUUAGAGCCACCCCUCAAAGUGCUAAUAGUGACCAGACCCAAUAUAAUUGAUUAAUGGACCAAGCUACCCCAGGGAUAACAGCGCAAUCCCCCUCAAGAGCCCCUAUCGACAGGGGGGUUUACGACCUCGAUGUUGGAUCAGGACAUCCUAAUGGUGCAGCCGCUAUUAAGGGUUCGUUUGUUCAACGAUUAAUAGUCCUACGUGAUCUGAGUUCAGACCGGAGCAAUCCAGGUCGGUUU